UAAUUUAAGUAAAAAUACACUUGUCUAAUUUAAUUAAAAAUCACAACAACAAAAAUACCUUACCCACCCAUCUCGCCCCUCUUUUUUACCCUGAACUGCCGUUCGCCCUUCCUCUGCUCUCCGUCGUGUCUGGUCGCCGUUGUCUGCCCUUCCGCUGCUCGCUGCACCGCCGCCAUCCUCUUUUCGCCGCAGCGCUGCCCCUGCUCUGCUCUCCGCGCCGUCGCCCCUGCUCUGCUCGAUACGGCGCCACCACUGAUCUGCUUGACGCAGCGUCGGUGAUUCUAUUUUCGCCGGAGCACCAAAGCUCAGCGAACUCGUGACCACCUUGCUGCGGCCGUCACCUUACCUUCGUUCAUUCUUCUCCUCUAUCUCCAGAGGGACCAUCACCCCCUUCAUCCUCAACGUUUACUGCAAUUCACUCAGCUAUAGAGGGUUCCAGCAUGGGUCUGUUUCAAACAAUAUCUUGAACCCAUCAAACUGAAUGAUGUCCAGGACAAGUAUGUGGAGCACUUUGCUGAUUUGGUUAAAAAAAAUGACUCAUGUUGAAGGAACUAAUGUUGAAGGCAUCUCACCUAAAUGGAGAUGUUCGUAUUUUGUACCUAGACCAGCGAGAUUUUGAGCAGAUUACAAAUCAAUUUGGUAUUUUUGAAUAAUGGAAGGUAAUGUUGUUAUAGUGGUUUUCUUGUCUUUUUUUUCAUCAAUAACUCGUGUUACAUCACCAAUUAGAAUUAGUCAAUUUAGGAUAUUUCUUGCCCAACUAUUACUGCAUUGAUCAAUUAAAUAUUGGAAUCUCUAUCCUUGCUAGUGUUUGUAUUACUUGAAGUUUGUUGCUGAUGGAUAGAAAUCCAAUAUGUCUGGCUGAAGUUUGUAAUUUUUCUUAAGCUAAUCUAUGUAUAAUCUGUGGUUCAGACACACCUGUGUUAAUAUUGAAUUUAUUAUUAUUAUUAUUUGAAAUGCUAUAAUCUUUGUCUUUGUGUUUGUGCUUUAGAGAAAAGGAACAAAUAUCACUUGCAAAAAGUUCUAGCUACUGAACAGGUACUCUUUUGUUGUUGUCCAAAGAGUGGAUGUAGACGAAAGCUAAUUGGAUAUCGAUGGUGAAUUUAUUGGAUCAUUGGUGGUGAAUGCUCAAGAUUGGAGAUUACAUUAGAGAUUUUUUAGUAGAUGAUUCAAAACGUAGUUAGAGACGAUACAAUUGUGGAUGUAAUGUUUUUUGAUGAAAUGUCAAACAAGAUAUUUGACUUUUAUGGUAUUAAUUGAGUUUUUAUUAAUGGCUUUUGAGAA